CUAGACAGUGUAAUGGGUUAGAGAGAGAGAGGUUACUUACUAGACAGUGUAAUGGGUUAGAGAGAGAGAGAGAGGUUACUUACUAGACAGUGUAAUGGGUUAGAGAGAGAGAGAGGUUACUUACUAGACAGUGUAACGGGUUAGAGAGAGGUUACUUACUAGACAGUGUAACGGGUUAGAGAGAGAGAUUACUUACUAAACAGUGUAAUGGGUUAGACAGAGAGAGGUUACUUACUAGACUAGACAUUGUAAUGGGUUAGAGAGAGAGAGGUUACUUACUAGACAGUGUAAUGGGUUAGAGAGAGAGUUUACUUACUAGACAGUGUAAUGAUUUAGAGAGAGAGGUUACUUACUAGACAGUGUAAUGGGUUAGAGAGAGAGAGAGGUUACUUACUAGACAGUGUAAUCGGUUAGAGAGAGAGAGGUUACUUACUAGACAGUGUAAUGGGUUAGAGAGAGAGAGAUAACUUACUAGACAGUGUAAUGGGUUAGAGAGAGAGAGGUUACUUACUAGACUAGACAGUGUAAUGCGUUAGAGAGAGAGAGAGGUUACUUACUAGACAGUGUAAGGAGUAAGAGAGAGAGAGAGGUUACUAACUAGACAGUGUAACGGGUUAGAGAGAG
rnacentral:lncRNA from 1 species